AGUGAACGCUGGCGGUAGGCCUAACACAUGCAAGUCGAACGGCAGCACAGUAAGAGCUUGCUCUUACGGGUGGCGAGUGGCGGACGGGUGAGGAAUACAUCGGAAUCUACUUUUUCGUGGGGGAUAACGUAGGGAAACUUACGCUAAUACCGCAUACGACCUACGGGUGAAAGCAGGGGAUCUUCGGACCUUGCGCGAUUGAAUGAGCCGAUGUCGGAUUAGCUAGUUGGCGGGGUAAAGGCCCACCAAGGCGACGAUCCGUAGCUGGUCUGAGAGGAUGAUCCACUACACUGGAAGUGAGACACGUUCGAGACACCUACGGUAGGCAGCAGUGGGGAAUAUUGCACAAUGGGGGAGAGCCUGAUCCAGCCAUACCGCGUAGGUGAAGAAGGCGUUAGGGUGGGAGAGUCAUUUUGUUGGGAAAGAAAAGCAGCAGUUUAAUCCCCCGCUGUUCUGACGGUACCCAAAGAAUAAGCACCGGCUAACUUCGUG
rnacentral:rRNA from 1 species